rnacentral:rRNA from 1 species
GACGAACCGUGCGAACGUUGUUCGGAUUCACUGGGCUUAAAGGGCGCGUAGGCGGCUUGCCAAGUCAGGGGUGAAAUCUUUCGGCUCAACCGGAAAAGUGCUUCUGAUACUGGCAGGCUGGAGGGAGGUAGGGGCAGAUGGAACUUCCGGUGGAGCGGUGAAAUGCGUAGAUAUCUGGAGGAACGCCGGUGGCGAAAGCGACUGUCUGGGGUGUCUGUGACGCUGAGGCGCGAAAGCCAGGGGAUCAAACGGG